GCCGAAGCACGUAAGGGCGUACGGUGGAUGGCUUGGUAGCGAGGAGCCGAAGAAGGACGUCGCAGCCUGCGAUAAGUCUCGGGGAGGUGGCAAGCAACCUAUGAUCCGGGAAUCUCCGAAUGGGGCAACCCACGUCGAUGAAGUCGACGUACCCACGACUGAAUACAUAGGUCGUGAGGAGGGCACCUGGGGAAGUGAAACAUCUCA
rnacentral:rRNA from 1 species